CUGGUUCUUACCUAUUCAACAAGACUUACUAUGGUCAUCUCCUCUAGGAAGCAUCCCUAUUUUCCCAGAACUGUGAAUUCUUCAAGGCUAAUGAGCUACGUACAAUGCCUGGAACAUAAUGGACUUCACGGCAGGCAGGUCACUGAUGUCUACACCUUUUAUGUCUGCUGCCUCCAUGUCCAAGGUCAAGGUUUGUCAU